AUUGAACGCUGGCGGCAUGCUUUACACAUGCAAGUCGAACGGCAGCACGGGUGCUUGCACCUGGUGGCGAGUGGCGAACGGGUGAGUAAUGCAUCGGAACGUGCCCAUGAGGUGGGGGAUAGCCCGGACGAAAGCCGGAUUAAUACCGCAUACGCCCGUUAGGGGAAAGCGGGGGAUCUUCGGACCUCGCGCUAUUGGAGCGGCCGAUGUCGGAUUAGCUAGUAGGUGAGGUAAAGGCUCACCUAGGCGACGAUCCGUAGCUGGUCUGAGAGGAUGAUCAGCCACACUGGGACUGAGACACGGCCCAGACUCCUACGGGAGGCAGCAGGUGGGGUAAUUUUGGACAAUGGGCGCAAGCCUGAUCCAGCCAUGCCGCGUGAGUGAAGAAGCCGUUCGGGUUGUAAAGCUUCUUCAGGUGGAAAAAAAUAGCGCUGUUUAAUAGAUGGCGUUGAUGACGGUACCACCAGAAGAAGCACCGGCUAACUACGUG
rnacentral:rRNA from 1 species